ACACAAGAAAAGGUUGACGGGUGGGUAAGAACAGCGACAUCCAUCAAGGCAGGUAACGUCUGUAAUCAGUUUCUUCACUAAGACCCAGUCUCUCUCCGGUCUGUCUGUGCCUCUGGGGAGGAGCUCUCUGCCAGGCCUGUGACUGCUGUCCCUGCUCCCAUCUGCUCCUCCUCUCUGUGAGGUAGCCCCGCUGCAUCAUCACUCAACCUAACUUCUGCUAAGCGCUGGUCAUGUCACUCUCCUACUCAGAACCCUUCAACAGCUACCAAAACUGCAUUCAAAGGCCACCACCAUCCAAACCUCAGCCCUUAUGCAGACUCCACACUUCACCAAAAUGGUCUGCUUGUCAUUGCCUGACAUGGCCAUGAUGAAAACAACAAGUGAGCUGAGGAUCUCCAUGAUAACCCACUGACCUGCCCAACUACACUUGGUCAGAUGUGAGCUAUCCUGAGGCAGCCAGGACCAUGUGCCUCCUCCCCGCAUGUGCCCACAACUGCUGGGAUGGCUGACUUCUCUUCCCUGAGCCCGCCCUCAACGUUGCCUCAGCGUGAGUCAGCUGCUACCAAGGCAUGGAGCUGGCAAGUAUAAUGGAACUCCCCUGCUACUCGAGCUCAGGCACUUAAUAGCUGUGUUAUUUAGGUCAAGCUACUUCGUUCAGACUGUUCCCUGGCCUGCAGAAUGGUGAUGCCACCACCUAGCGGACAGGGUUGUUGGAAGGAUUAAAGGAGAAUGUAUGUAAAAUGCCUGAUACAUAAAAAGUAUACAGUAAAUGUUCCCCUAGUGCUAAA